GAUCCUGCCAGUAGUCAUAUGCUUGUCUCAAAGAUUAAGCCAUGCAUGUGCAAGUAUGAACCAAUUUGAAUUGUGAAACUACGAAUGACUCAUUAAAUUGGUUAUAGUUUUUUUAUGGCACAUGCUACUCGGAUAACCAUAGCAAUUCUAGAGCUAAUAUGUGCAACAAACCCGACUUUUGGGAGGGGCGCAUUUAUUAGA
rnacentral:ncRNA from 1 species